UACGGAGAAGGCAAGCGUUAUCCGGAAUUAUUGGGCGUAAAGCGUCCGUAGGUGGCUCUCUCAAGUCUGCGGUCAAAGCCCAGGGCUCAACCCUGGAAUGGCCUUCGAUACUGGAGAUCUUGAGACCGGAAGAGGUAAGUGGAACUGCGAGUGUAGAGGUGAAAUUCGUAGAUAUUCGCAAGAACACCAGUGGCGAAGGCGGCUUACUGGUCCGGUUCUGACGCUGAGGCGCGAAAGCGUGGGGAGCAAACAGG
rnacentral:rRNA from 1 species